rnacentral:rRNA from 1 species
UACACACCGCCCGUCACACCAUGGGAGUUGGUUUUCACCCGAAAGGCGCUACGCUAACCCGCAAGGAAGGCUAGGCGACCACGGUGGGAUCAGCGACUAGGGGUGAAAGUCGUAAACAAGGUACC